GGACCUUGGUCAAGUCGGUAUGAUAUAUCGCUUGAAACUCCUACAGAUUGUGGGUUCGAAUCCCAAAGGGGGUCUA
rnacentral:tRNA from 1 species